CAAAGAUUAAGCCAUGCAUGUCUAAGUAUAAGCAACUAUACCGUGAAACUGCGAAUGGCUCAUUAAAUCAGUUAUCGUUUAUUUGAUAGUACCUUACUACAUGGAUAACCGUGGUAAUUCUAGAGCUAAUACAUGCUAAAAACCUCGACUUCGGAAGGGGUGUAUUUAUUAGAUAAAAAACCAAUGCCCUUCGGGGCUCCUUGGUGAAUCAUAAUAACUUCUCGAAUCGCAUGGCCUUGCGCCGGCGAUGGUUCAUUCAAAUUUCUGCCCUAUCAACUUUCGAUGGUAGGAUAUUGGCCAACCAUGGUAUCAACGGGUAACGGGGAAUUAGGGUUCGACUCCGGAGAAGGAGCCUGAGAAACGGCUACCACAUCCAAGGAAGGCAGCAGGCGCGCAAAUUACCCAAUGCCGACACGGGGAGGUAGUGNCAANAAANCCCUCUUAAGGGGGCUNNGGGUCUUGUAAUUGGAANGAGNACA
rnacentral:rRNA from 1 species